rnacentral:tRNA from 1 species
GGGGGUGUAGCUCACCUGGUAGAGCGUCUGAUUUGCAUUCAGAAGGUAGCAGGUUCGAGUCCUGUCACGUCCAUCA